UACAGGGGGGUGCAAACGUUGCUCGGAAUCAUUGGGCGUAAAGCGCACGUAGGCGGUUCGUUAUGUCGGAUGUGAAAGCCCUUGGCUUAACCGAGGAAGUGCAUCCGAAACUGGCGAGCUAGAGUACUAAAGAGGAUCGCGGAAUUCCCGGUGUAGAGGUGAAAUUCGUAGAUAUCGGGAGGAACACCGGUGGCGAAGGCGGUUUCUAUUUUACUCCUGACGCUGAGGCGCGAAAGCAAGGGGAUCAAAACAGGG
rnacentral:rRNA from 1 species